rfam:Caenorhabditis japonica strain DF5081 Contig9630.1, whole genome shotgun sequence.
UGGUGCAUGGCCGUUCUUAGUUGGUGGAGUGAUUUGUCUGGUUUAUUCCGAUAACGAGCGAGACUCUAGCCUGCUAAAUAGUCGACGAAUCUUCGGGUUCGUAUAACUUCUUAGAGGGAUAAGCGGUGUUUAGCCGCACGAGAUUGAGCGAUAACAGGUCUGUGAUGCCCUUAGAUGUCCGGGGCUGCACGCGUGCUACACUGGUGGAGUCAGCGGGUUUUUCCUAUGCCGAAAGGUAUCGGUAAACCGUUGAACUUCUUCCAUGUCCGGGAUAGGGUAUUGUAAUUAUUACCCUUAAACGAGGAAUGCCUAGUAAGUGUGAGUCAUCAGCUCACGUUGAUUACGUCCCUGCCCUUUGUACACACCGCCCGUCGCUAUCCGGGACUGAACUGAUUCGAGAAGAGUGGGGACUGUGGCUGCGAGGUUUUACCACUUCGCAGUUGCGGAAACCAUUUUUAUCGCAUUGGUUUGAACCGGGUAAAAGUCGUAACAAGGUAGCUGUAGGUGAACCUGCAGCUGGAUCAUCG